rnacentral:rRNA from 1 species
UACGGAGGGUGCGAGCGUUGUCCGGGAUCACUGGGCGUAAAGGGCGCGUAGGCGGCCCGGUAAGUAGGAGGUGAAAUCCUGCGGCUUAACCGCAGGGCUGCCUUCUAAACUGCCAGGCUUGAGCACAGUAGAGGCAGGUGGAAUUCCCGGCGUAGCGGUGGAAUGCGUAGAGAUCGGGAAGAACAUCGGUGGCGAAGGCGGUCUGCUGGGCUGUGGCUGACGCUGAGGCGCGACAGCGUGGGGAGCAAACAGG